rnacentral:rRNA from 1 species
GACGAACGCUGGCGGCGUGCUUAACACAUGCAAGUCGAACGGAAAGGCCUGCUUUCCCUUGUGGAUUGCGGGUACUCGAGUGGCGAACGGUUGAGUAACACGUGAGUGAUCUGCCCCCAACUUGGGUAUAAGCCUGGGAAACUGGGUCUAAUUCCCGAUAGGACUGCAGGGUGGUGCCUGUGGUGGAAAACGAUUUUCUAGUGGUUGGGGAUGAGCUCGCGGCCUAUCAGCUUGUUGGUGGGGUAAUGGCCUACCAAGGCGGCGACGGGUAGCCGGCCGGGGAGGGUGGACGGGCACAUUGGGACUGGGAGACGGCCCAGACUCCUACGGGAGGCAGCAGGGGGGAAUAUUGCACAAGGGGCGGAAGCCUGAUGAAGCGACGCGGCGUGGGGGAUGACGGCCUUCGGGUUGUAAACUCCUUUCGACCGCGAGGAAGCCACCUGGUUGGAAGGGUGGUGACGGUAGUGGUAGAAGAAGCACCGGCUAACUACGUG